AGCUUUGCACAAUGGCAGUAUCAUAGCCAAUGAGGUUUAUCCAAGGCACAAUUAUUGCUAAUUGAAAACAUUUCCCAAUACCCUGCCAUGAAGACUUGCAAUAUAGUUGGCAUUAGCAAUUUUUGGCAGUCUCUACAGAGA
rnacentral:snRNA from 1 species